CUCUAUAUGCAGUUGAUUCGAAAGAAUCCUCUGUUUGCAACAAAAUGAAAGUGCUUUAUUAAAAAAGGACCGAAACACUAAUACAAAAAUGCGAGUUAAAGCAUUUUGUCUGAUAACGAUGCGUUUGUCCUCCGUCUGGUGUGACUUGUCUCUUUGUCGAUGUUUACUUCAUUGGACUUGAAGUAACAAAGGUACCUGCAUAUUAGAAUCCCAAACCAGAAUUGAAUGCAGUUAACAAUGAAGGUGGCUGCAUUUCAUUUGCAGCUUUGUGAAUAAAAUUACAGCAUUUUUUAAUAUUGAGCACACUUUUCAUGUAGCUUUGCAAAGUUCGAACGAAAUUUCGGUUUGGUUUGCAGCAUAAAAUGGAUUUUUUCAAGUCAAACAUUGGCAAAGUUGCAACACAGGUCGACGCUGUUCUGCCUGAUGAAAAGCGCAAGGAGUUGAUAAAAGAAAAGUUAGGCCCGCUAGUCAUGAAAAUAAACCCUACCCUUGGCGAAAAAAUUACUGAAGAAUUGAUGAAGCAGGACCUAAGUAAGCUAGUGCCGUUGGCAGACGAUCCGAAGAAACUCGAAGCCACUGUGGAGGAGGAAGCUAAGAAGAUUGAAGAAAAGGAAAAGAAGGAGACUAUCGAUCUGGACUGAAUUCUAUUUCAUUAUCAUCUCAUUUCGGACAUUUAGAUAGAUGCUUAAUCAACGGCUAAUACCUUCAUACUUGAAAGAAUCAUUUUAAAGUUUA